CUUUACUAUAGCGUGUCAUUGAAAUUAUGUGUCUACUGCUUAGAAUAGGUGGGAGACUUUGAAGAUUUUCUUCCGGGAAAAUCUGAGUCGAAAUAUGAAAUACCACCCUGUAUUCAUGUGAUUUCUAACCAAUCCUUAACCUAGGUUGGGACAGUGGCUCGUGGGUAGUUUAACUGGGGCGGUUGCCUCCUAAAUGGUAACGGAGGCGUUUAUUAAGGUAAGCUAGGCAUGGAUGGAAAUCAUGCUGAUAGUGCAAACGCAUAAGCUUGCUUGACUGCAAGAGUCGCAACUUGCGCAGGUACGAAAGUAGAAGUUAGUGAUCCGAUGCGUUAGAGUGGAAUACGCAAAGCCCAACGGAUAAAAGUUA
rnacentral:rRNA from 1 species